AGCACACAACGCAAGUCAAGCACUGACUGGUCCCAAGUACUCAGAGAAGUGGAGUCAACCUCCUGUUAACAAAAGAGGAAUUCCAUCAUCUCCACUAGCUUUGCUCAUAGUGAUGCUUCCUAAGGCCCACUUGACUUCGCACUCCAGGAUGUCUGGCUCUAGGAACUGUCAGCAGAAAUCACAAAUGCCACUGAUGGACAAGAAUGUUUUUCUCGGGUGAGGCCCAGAAUGUAAGGUGGAAAAGAUCUUGGGAGGAAGUUAGUCCAGGGUUCAUACAUGGAAACAUCUCAAAGCAGCUCUCAACCACAUUCCAAGGCUCAUCACGGCAUGUACAGACCCAGGAACCUGAGUGACAGGCAACAUAAGCCGUCUUGUCAUGAAGACACCUCAGAACAUACACUGAAGCAGGCAGCACAGCUAGACCCAGGGGCUCCUAGAAACUGGAUUGGUGGAAAGGACUGGGGUGAUGGUGGUGAAAACGGUGGAGUGGAACGACUUCCUCUGGAUACAUGCCAAGCCUUCUCAAAUCUGUCUGCUAAGAUCCUGAGGGCAGAGGAGAAUGGACACCACUCCACUGCCAGCGAGGGCACAAGAGGCUCCUUCCCUGUUUUGUCUUAAAUUCAAAAUAACAAUCAGGGGAAAAUUGAUGCUCCCUUGCACCUUUGUGAAUGCAACCUGUUUGCCCCAAUCCCAAUUAGAAAAAUG
rnacentral:lncRNA from 1 species